rnacentral:rRNA from 1 species
UUUAAUUGAAGAGUUUGAUCAUGGCUCAGAUUAAACGCUGGCGGCAGGCCUAACACAUGCAAGUCGAGCGGCAGCGGAAGGAAGCUUUCUUCCUUGCCGGCGAGCGGCGGACGGGUGAGUAAGGUAUGGGGAUCUGGCCGAAGGCGGGGGAUAACCACUGGAAACGGUGGCUAAUACCGCAUAAUCUCUAAGGAGCAAAGCGGGGGACCAUUCUGGCCUCACACCUUCGGAUGAA